rnacentral:rRNA from 1 species
CCGGAUUAGAUACCCUGGUAGUCCACGCCGUAAACGAUGAGUGCUAAGUGUUAGAGGGUUUCCGCCCUUUAGUGCUGCAGCUAACGCAUUAAGCACUCCGCCUGGGGAGUACGGUCGCAAGACUGAAACUCAAAGGAAUUGACGGGGGCCCGCACAAGCGGUGGAGCAUGUGGUUUAAUUCGAAGCAACGCGAAGAACCUUACCAGGUCUUGACAUCCUCUGACAACUCUAGAGAUAGAGCGUUCCCCUUCGGGGGACAGAGUGACAGGUGGUGCAUGGUUGUCGUCAGCUCGUGUCGUGAGAUGUUGGGUUAAGUCCCGCAACGAGCGCAACCCUUGAUCUUAGUUGCCAGCAUUUAGUUGGGCACUCUAAGGUGACUGCCGGUGACAAACCGGAGGAAGGUGGGGAUGACGUCAAAUCAUCAUGCCCCUUAUGACCUGGGCUACACACGUGCUACAAUGGAUGGUACAAAGGGCUGCAAGACCGCGAGGUCAAGCCAAUCCCAUAAAACCAUUCUCAGUUCGGAUUGUAGGCUGCAACUCGCCUACAUGAAGCUGGAAUCGCUAGUAAUCGCGGAUCAGCAUGCCGCGGUGAAUACGU